rnacentral:lncRNA from 1 species
AAACAAAAACCCUAAAAGUAAACAUUGUUGAUACUUGGAUUGAUAAGCGUAUAGAUACUCACAAAAUACCUGUUUUUAGCCUCCAAACUUAAAAAAAAAUACAGCUAUAAACAGUAAGUCACCCAUAAUUUAUGUCACCAUACCUGUUAUCUAAUUACUGAGGGUUUUAAUUUUAGAAGUGGAAUAAUGAUGUCAGUUCAAGUAAUCAAAGACAUUUCGUGGAACAUAGCAAUGGAAAUGAUCAUAUUUUAUAGGUCAUCCCAGAGAGAGAGCAGAAGUUUGCGGAAACAAAAGUGCAAGUCCCUCCCACAUUUUGAAUAGCUUGGUGGUUAAACUGUGUGCUAGGCAACAGCCUUGCUUUGCCUUCUGUUGAGAAUCAAGAGUUUGCCUUUUUAUUACUGUAUGUUUAUAAAAAUUGCAGGCUAACCAUUUUGAAAUGAGGAAAGUGGAUCUCUGCUCAGUCACUGAAGGGACAGAAGUGAUUCUGGCCACAUCGAGUGAUGAAAAGCACCCACCUGAAAACAUCAUUGAUGGGUAAGCGGGCCUCUUCCUUCUGUCCUGAUUCCAGGGUUAUGUUAGGUCAGGGAGCCCCUAUUUCAUAGUAACUGAUACUGUGAAGCAGUUUAAUAAGUAUUUAGUGAGCUAGAUGGCUUCAUAAUAUCUAUUUGUGGAGUCAUUAUUGAACUAAUUUUUUUGUAAAUACAUUUUUUAUCUUUGUGCAAAUAGGUUCGAUUUUUAAAAAUUUUAUUCUUUUUCACUGCUGGAAAUUAGACCAGGGCCCUCCCAUGGUAGACAAGUAUUCUACAAUCAUGCUGUUUCCCCAGCUUUUGCUUUUUUUUUUUUUAAUUGUAAUUUGGGUUUUCUAAGUCGGGGUCUUAACUGUGUAACCUAGAUUUGUCUUAGAUUCAAAUCCUCCUGUCUCAGAGUCUAGAAGUGUAGUGAUAUUAUACCAUUUCAACUUUGCAAAGAGACGUACAUGUGUGUUCUAAGAUUUAUUCCUUUUCAUUUUACAUAUACUAGUGUUUUGCUCAUAUGUAUGUAUAUGUACCAUAUGUGUGCAAUGCCAAGGACAGAGAGGACACCAGAUCCCCUAGAACUGGAGUUACAGAUGGUUGUGAACUGCCAUGUGGUGCCAGGAACUCAAGCCAGGUCUUCUACAAGAGCUGACAGUGCUCUUAACUGUUGAGCCAUCUCUUCAGGCCAUAAAUAGGUUUUAAAAGGUGUUUUAACAAGACAAAAAACAAGACAGCAACUUCAUUUUAUGGAAGAGUAAGAUUUAAUAUCUGGUUUUGGUUUAAUUCUAGAUUUUUUUAGAAAUACAAGUAUAUAGCCGUGGUCACUUCCUGUGUACUGUUUGCUUGCUUGCUGGUCUAAGCGGUAUCUCUGCUGAGCUGAAUGCCUCACUUCUUGCCCCUCCUGCAUCCAUCGUGUGCUUCAUUCCAGUCCUGCUUGGCGAGGACGUAGAGGGAAGUCGUAUUCUCAGACCUUUCAUUCCAAGAAGAGUGGCCAAUGGAGAACACACCACUUUUGUUUAUUUCUAAUUUUUAUUUUAUAUGUGGGUUUUGCCUACAUGUAUGGCUGUGCGGAUAUGUUCAGUACCUAGAAAGGCCAGAAGAGGAUGUCAGAUCCCCUUGGCUGGAGUUUAGACCUCUGUGAGCCACUGUCUGGCUUCUGGAUCUUCUGGGAGAGUAGCCAGUACUCUCUCUAGACUAAGAACACCUCUUUUAAAUAGUUCUGGCUUAUUAUUCUUAAAUCCUUUCAAUUUGUGUACAUACCCACACUGGACUGGUGGAAUCAGAUCAUUUUAGAGCUGAAAGGAUUUAUUAGAGUAUCUUUAGUUUAGACUUGGAGGAAGACAGGUGGACUCAUUAAACACUGUUUAAUUAUUGAGGCAGAGCCAGUUGUAAGAUGGAGAUGUUAUAAGCCUCCAUAUUCUAUUGUGCUUAGAUGAGAUCUUGACAAUGAAGGUCAGUUGCUGCUCCUCUCUCACACCUUCCCCUCAGGUGUGGGGGCUUUGCUAGACUCCAGGAACAUUAGAUUUUAGUCUCUAUUAUGAAAUUGGAUGAUUUGAUUUUUGUUUCUUUUUUUUUUGUAAUUGUUUAUCUGUAAUAAUAUGUCCUCUCUCAGGAAUUCUUAGAAAUGUGAAUUAGAAAUCAGCCUGGGCUUUGCUUAUCUUUGACUUUAUAGAAUCUUGAACUGUUUGUUGACUAGGUUUUUGAUUUAGAAUACAAAUAUUUGUUAAACUUGGCUAAUGUUAAAAAGCAUGCGGGCAGGGGUCCAUCCCAUAAUCAGCCACCAAGCGCAGACACUAUUGCAUACGCCAGCAAGAUUUUGCUGAAGGGACCCUGAUAUAGCUGUCUCUUGUGAGGCUAAGCCAGUGCCUGGCAAACACAGAAGUGGAUGAUCACAGUCAGCUAUUGGAUGGAACACAGGGCCCCCAAUGGAGGAGCUAGAGAAAGUACCCAAGGAGCUGAAGGGGGUCUGCAACCCUAUAGGUGGAACAACAAUAUGAACUAACCAGUACCCCCAGAGCUCGUGUCUCUAGCUGCAUAUGUAGCAGAAGAUGGCUUAGUCGGCCAUCACUGGGAAGAGAGGCCCCUUGGUCUUACAAACUUUAUAUGCCCUAAUACAGGGGAAACACCAGGGCCAAGAAGUGGGAUUGGGUGGAUAGCGGAGCGGGGGUGGGGAGGGUAUAGGGGACUUUUGGGAUAGCAUUUGAAAUGUAAAUAAAAAAUUGGAGGAAAAAAAUGG